rnacentral:rRNA from 1 species
GACGAACGCUGGCGGCGUGCUUAACACAUGCAAGUCGAACGGUGAAGCGCAUUUCUUUUUGGUGGGUGUGGAUGAGUGGCGAACGGGUGAGUAACACGUGAGUAACCUGCCUCCUUCUUCUGGAUAACCGCAUGAAAGUGUGGCUAAUACGGGCUAUUCUGGGUCUGUCGCAUGUUGGGUCUGGGCAAGAUAUUGUUUCGGUGGGGGAUGGGCUCGCGGCCUUUCAGAUUGUUGGUGGGGUGAUGGCCUACCAAGGCGGUGAUGGGUAGCAGGCCGGCGAGGGUGGACGGACACACUGUGGCGGAGACACGGCCGAGACUACUAGGGGAGGCAGCAGUGGGGAUUAUCGCACAAUGGGAGCAAGCCUGAUGCAGCGACGCCGGGUGAGAGAUGGUGGCCUUCUGGUUGUGAACCUCUAUCGCCAGGGAAGCAGGCCUGCCUCGUUUGUGGGUGGGUUGACGGUAGCUAGAGAAGAAGCGCCGGCUAACUACGUG